rnacentral:tRNA from 1 species
UGUGUUAUGGCUCAGAGGAAAAGUGCUGGCCUAGCAUGCUUGAGGCACUGAGUUCGAUUCCCAGCAUCACAU